rnacentral:rRNA from 1 species
UACGGAGGGUGCAAGCGUUAAUCGGAAUUACUGGGCGUAAAGCGUGCGCAGGCGGUUUGUUAAGUCUGUUGUGAAAUCCCCGAGCUCAACUUGGGAAUUGCAAUGGAUACUGGCAGGCUGGAGUAUGGUAGAGGAAGGUGGAAUUCCCGGUGUAGCAGUGAAAUGCGUAGAGAUCGGGAGGAACACCAGUGGCGAAGGCGGCCUUCUGGACCAAUACUGACGCUCAUGCACGAAAGCGUGGGGAGCGAACAGG